GACGAACGCUGGCGGCGUGCCUAAUACAUGCAAGUAGAACGCUGAAGGAGGAGCUUGCUUCUCCGGAUGAGUUGCGAACGGGUGAGUAACGCGUAGGUAACCUGCCUGGUAGCGGGGGAUAACUAUUGGAAACGAUAGCUAAUACCGCAUAACAGUAGAUAUCGCAUGAUAUCUGCUUGAAAGGUGCAAUUGCAUCACUACCAGAUGGACCUGCGUUGUAUUAGCUAGUUGGUGAGGUCACGGCUCACCAAGGCGACGGUACAUAGCCGACCUGGGAGGGUGAUCGGCCAACCUGGGACUGGGACACGGCCCAGACUCCUACGGGAGGCAGCAGGAGGGGAUCUUCGGCAAUGGACGGAAGUCUGACCGAGCAACGCCGCGUGAGGGAAGAAGGUUUUCGGAUCGUAAAGCUCUGUUGUAAGGGAAGAACGAGUGUUAGAGUGGAAAGUUCACACUGUGACGGUACCUUACCAGAAAGGGACGGCUAACUACGUG
rnacentral:rRNA from 1 species